CAUGUAGGCGGUUGUUUAAGUCUGAUGUGAAAGCCCUGGGCUCAACCCAGGAAGUGCAUUGGAUACUGGACAACUUGAGUACGGGAGAGGAAAGUGGAAUUUCGAGUGUAGGGGUGAGAUCCGUAGAUAUUCGAAGGAACACCAGUGGCGAAGGCGGCUUUCUGGACCGAUACUGACGCUGAGAUGCGAAAGCGUGGGGAGCAAACA
rnacentral:rRNA from 1 species